GAGCCUCAGCUGCGCGGCGUCUGAGGGCUUCGUGCCCAAAGUGCUAUGCUUCGGCCGGCAAAAAACAGUCAACUCAGAACUGGCACGGACCGGGGGAAUCCGACUGUGUAAUUAAAACAAAGCAUUGCGAUGGCCGCUGGUCGGUGUUGACGCAAUGUGAUUUCUGCCCAGUGCUCUGAAUGUCAACGUGAAGAGAUUCAUCAAAGCGCGGGUAAACGGCGGGAGUAACUAUGACUCUCUUGAUUCCCUGACCUCGUGGCGACAAGGGGCGAUCAGGCCGUCAUCUUAGAUGCCCAGGUCGUCGGUUUGCGCAUAUCGCUCGCCGAGGCCCAUAAAAACAAAGUCGUUAAAUACUCCGUGCCCGAGAUUCUGGACCACGUGCGGGGGACCCGUAAAGCGGCUCCUCUGGUGUCCAGCGUCACGCUCUCGUAUAGGGGCGUUUGGGCAAAGGAGAGCGCUGACGUUCUGUGCGACAUGGGACUCGGCCGCCAGGACAUUAAGCUCAUUACGAUCAAGUGCCUGCAGGGGGGGUGUCGUGUUUCUGGCGCCAUCAACGUAUGACCUCCGUGGUUUCACGGGCGAUGACGCGGUGUGAUGAUUGACCAUCCCACGCUGUACUCUCCUCACCCCAUCUGGGUGGGUGUUAUUUGGGUCCCUCUGCCUGCCUGCGAACAGAGGACAAUAAUCAAAAAAAAAAAAAUAGCCAAAUGCCUCGUCAUCUAAUUAGUGACGCGCAUGAAUGGAUUAACGAGAUUCCCACUGUCCCUA
rnacentral:ncRNA from 1 species